UGGGAAUAUGAACCUGUGAAUAGAUCUAAAAAAACUCAUUUGUAGAUAAAGAUGGGAAAUUAAGUUGGUUUUUGCUGAUGAGACCAUACGUCGAUUUAGGGAUGAAAAACAUAGAUUGGUAGAAUACUUUAGAUGGUGAGAUGACGAACACAUUUACAUGCAAAUCAAUGACAUUAAAUAAAAAAUAGGAUUUUCAAACCAAAAAAACACAGAAGAGAAUCAAGUAUUCAAGGAGUAGAAGAUAGGGGAGAUACAGAGAAUGGGGUUUACACACCAAUUUGGUUGAUAUCCCAGAGAAGAGGAGGGGAAAUAAGAAUUUCAAAAAAAUUCAAAUCCCUUUAUCCUUAAAUCUCUCCUCAAAUCACUCUAAAUAGAAUCAAUUGCAAAUUUCAAUUAUGGUAUAAUAAUCUUGCAUGGAUGAAAUUGUAGUAGACAGGAAACAAAAAUGUAGGGAAAUAUGAGGAAGCCACGUGGCAAAAUAGAUAUGUAGAAAGAGGAUAUCUGGCCUCUUUAGAUUUCUUUUAUUAGAGAAGGUAGAUAAGCUAAUAAGUAUAAGGAAUACAAGAAGAGAAGCGAGAAAUUGUUAGUAUAUUGAUUAAAUUUGUUACAGAGGAAUACAAUUAGAUAUUUAUAAAGUGUUACAACUAAGUAAUGAGAUAUACACAAAUGUAGAUAUAUAUAGGAACAAUAUUGAAAAAGUAAAUGUACGUGAGACAAAUUGAAGAUAAAUAUAAUUGAGUUAUAUCUUAAUAUGCCUCCACAAGAUGGACGAUCCGAAGAGAAAGCUAAUCUUGGAUAUGAGGUAAUGAAAGUGUGGUCUUGGAAGAGGCUUGGUGAGAGCAUCAGCUAGUUGGUCAUCACAUGUUAUGUGUUGAACCCGUAGAGAGCCUUGUUGUACCUUUUCUCUUACAAAAUGAAAAUCCAAGGCAAGGUGCUUCAUUCUAGAGUUGAAAACCGGAUUUGCUGAAUAUGAAGUGGCACUCAAGUUAUCACAAUAUAUGGCAGGCUUUGUGGUGGAUGAAAUACCCAGUUCAGUAAGCAAUGAGGUUAGCCAUUGAACUUCAGUUGUUGUGGAUGCAACAACUUAAAAUUCAGCUUCUGUAGAGCUUCUUGCAAGAGUAGUUUGGUGUUUUGAGCUCCAUGAAAUAGGAUUUGAGCCAAGCUAAACAAUGUAUCAUGUGGUGCUUCUAUAGUUGUCUUUAUCCCCUGCCCAGUCAGCAUCAAUGAAGGCAUGAAGUGUAAGAGGUGAUUUACGUUGUAGAAUUAUGUCGUGAUGAGAGUACCAUGAAAAUAUCUUAGUAAUCGUUUCAAGGCCAUCCAGUGUUGAAAAGUAGGAGCAUGUGUGAAUUGAGACAGGCGACUCACUUUAAAGGAUAUGUCUGGUCUUGUCAAGGAAAGAUAUUGUAAGUCACCAAUGAAGUUACGAUAUUCAGUUAGUGAUGAAUGUGGUGUGUUGAGUGUAUGAAUGACUACAGAUCCAAUAUGAGAGAUUUUAAAACAUAAACCAUCAUCGGUGACCAAUUCUUUAGUUCCAUCAUAUAGUGUAUGGACUGAGAGGUUGUUCAACUCAUUUGUUGCAUGAAAGCUUGCUCCACUGUCAAAUAGCCAGUUUGUUGUGGUUGGUGUAUGAGUCAUGACAUGAGCUUGGCCAUGUUGGACCUACAUGUUGCGAUAAGGAAGCACAAAAGAAUGUAGAAAAGACUUUUUGAAUGUUAAGCAAUUUCUUAAUGAAUGUCCUUUCUGGUGGUACCAUUGACACCUUCUUAAGAAUAGUCGUUGACCAUUAGCUUGAGGGACCUGAGAAACUUGCUUUGAGGGUGUAGGAAGCAAUCCUGGAGUGGUGGUUAUUUGACGAGGAGGCCAUGAAUGUUUGCUCGUUGAUGAUUAGUAUAGAACAUUGUGGCUGGUUGAUGAAUCUCAGUAGCAAUAGGUAGGGAUGAGCAAAGGAACCGACUCGGCUAGAACCGGCCCGAACCAGGAACCGAGUCGGCUGAAAUUAAGAACUGAACCGGACCACCGGUUCUACCAGUUCCCGGUUCCUACCGGUUCUUGUUGUGUCUUCAAUGUUAGAACUGGUCCUUGAAAAAUAACAACAAACGGUUCCGGUUUUUGCCGGUUCUACUGGUUCCCAGUUCCAAACAUCCACAAGAAUAUCGUCCCGGUCCCUGCCCAUCGGGUUCCGGUUCCAGUACCAGUUCCGGUUCCGGCCGGUUCCCCGGUCCAUAUGCUCAUCCCUAGCAACAGGUACCUUUUGAGCAAGAUCCAACUCAUGAUUUAUUAGUUUUUCAUGUAGUUCAUUGAAGGAUAUGGGGGAGUCUCUUGCAUGGAUGUCAUCAAGAACUGGUUUGUAAGUGGAUUGAUCUAACCUAUUGACAACUACAUCAAUAAUGUCUUCUUGGUCAAGUUUCUUUCCAAGAAUUGCAAGUUUAUCAACAACAGUUUUGACAUUCUGCAUAUAAUAUGUGGCUGUUUGAUUGGAGGUUUUGGUAAGCUGCUUUAGACGGUAUUGUAACUAUUUAAUAUGCCCUCGUGAUGGAGAUACAUAUCUACUUGCUAAGAUUUUCCAUGUUUCUUGAGAAGAUGAAGCAUUUGUCACCAAUGGAACAAUUUGUGGUGAUAAGGUCCCAGCUAAUGCUUCAAAUAGAAGACGAUCUUACCUGAACCAUUUUUGGUAGUCGGCAUGUUGAGUGGUUGUGCCAUUGGCGGCAAUGAGUAGAGCAGACGCUAGAUGUGAGCCAUCAAUGAAUUGGUAUAGAUCUAGCCAAUGCAACAAUGCUUUGAUCUGUGUUUUCCAUCCAAGAUAGUUGGUGGAUAUCAAUUUUAGUGUCGUUGGGAAGUUGACAACGGUAAUGUCUUUUAUAACUGUGUUAGCGGUGAGUGAAGAAAAGGAGGAAGAAUCGUCAUUGGGGGCGGGGGUGUAGAUGUAGAUCAAGGCUCUGGUACCAUAUUAGGAUUACAAGAAUAGAAGAUGCGAGAAACUGUUGUAUAUUAAUUCAAUUUGUUACAGGAAUACAACUAGAUAUUUAUGAAGUGUUAUAGCUAACUAAUGAGAUAUAUACAGAUGGAGAUAUGUACAAGAACAAUGUUGACAAAGUACGUGAGACAAAAUUGAAGAUAAAUAUAAUUGAGUUAUAUCUUAAGUUUUGAACUAAUAAACAAUAAGUUUUUUUUUGCCAAACGUCCCUUAAAUGAAUAGGCAUUAUUAUAUUUAGCAUCUAAACAUUUAAAUAUACUUAUUAUUGUUAUUAAACCCCAUUAAACUAAUAAAUAUUUUAAAUAAGCAACUAUCAAACACUUAUACAUAUGAUUUGGAAAAGACUAAAUUGCACAAAUGGUCCCUGUGGUUUGUCGAAAAUUGUCACUUUGGUCCAAAAAUGUUUGGAAUAGCACUAAAGGUCCAAACUUUUCAUUUUGUUGCGAGUUUGGUCGAAUUUUCUAUCAACUUUUUGAUUAUGACGAUUUUGCCCCUUAUUUUUCUGUUUUUUAUUAUUAUUUAAAGAAUUUUCUGAUUAAAAAAAUAAAAAAGAAUAUUUGUCUUUUCAAUUUUAUUUUAAUAUUUUUUUAUAAUAGAAAAAAUAGAAAAUGAAAAUGCAAACUCUCUCUCUCUCUCUCUCUCUCUCUCUCUCUCUCUCUUCUACAACAACCGUCCAAUCUCUCUCUUCUUCUACAACAACCGUCCAAUCUCUCUUUUCUUCUACAACAACCAUCCAUUACUGCCGGAAAAUAUAAACACCACCACCGCUAGGCGACGUUUAGACGUCACCGAGGAACACAACUCGCCAGACCUCUCCCUUCUUACCAACAACGACGUUUAUACCACCACCAUUUUGAAUCUUAAAACGUCGGGGAAACCUCGUUCCAGAUCUGAAAACCCUAGUAGUGGUGCGGUAUUUCAUAGGAGAAAGAAGUGGGUGAUGGUUGGGACGAGUUUCGUCGUUGUCGGAGUGACCAAGAUUGGGAUGGAUGGAAGGAGUUGUUGUCGUCUCCGACGAAACACUUGUGAAGACGAAGAUGAUGAUGCCGCUGGAAGACGACGACGUUCUUCCGUCAAACCUGCUGCCAGAUCUGGUCGAAACCCUGGUGAAGCAAGAACGACAAUGACGUUAGGGGUUGAACUGCCGAAACACUAAAAGGGUGAAGUUUGUGGCUCGAGUUUCGAGCAUCGCUGCCGUAGUCGUAUAUAGAAAUCCCAGUGUCGCUUUCUCCGACGGCAUCUACAAGCUACGAGAUACAUAAAUGAUGACGUUAGGGGUAGGGUUCUCUGGAUACGCCUCUUUCCCUCUCUCCCAAAUUUGUAAAUCAUUAUUCCGAUGAGAUUGUCAUCUAAGAUCUGGAAUGUUUUCUCCAUUUAUUUUUUUUUGGUAGUGGAACCCCUAAACCUAUGAAAUUCUCAACAGUUCUGCAAAGGAGGAAUCGAAAUGCAUGACGCCGGUGAUGUCGGUGCCGGAAAAACGAGGGGUAGCACUGACAGUGGUGGUGAUGAUAGUUUUUUUGUAGAAGAAUAUAUAUNUAUAUAUAUAUAUAUAGAGAGAGAGAGAGAGAGAGAGAGAGAGAGAUUGCAUUUUUAUUUUCUAUUUUUUCUAUUAUAAAACAAUUAUAAAAAUAAAAUCAAAAAGACAAAUUUUCUUUUUUAUUUUUUUUAAUCAGAAAUAUCUUUAAAUAAUAAAAAAAAAAUGAAAAAUAAAGGACAAAUCCUCAUAAUAAAAAGUUGAUAGCAAUUUGAAUCAAACUCGCAACAAAAUGAAAAAUCUGGUCUGAUACUAGUCCAAAUAAUUUUUAAAAAAUCACAAGACCAUUUGUUGAGUUUACUCUUUGGAAAAUCAGUAGGUAGAAAUCUCAUUUGAGCCAAGACACCAAUUCAAUACCGAUCGUACUUGCAAACUAAAGUAAAAGGUUCAUUGAUCUAUCCGAAGGGCAAAUACCCGAUGAGUUUUUUGGGUUAACUUUAAACCAACAGCUGUCAAUGUGGAACUAACUAACUCAUGUUGUAGAGAUUUUGCCUUUUGGUUCGUAGGUCCCAAUAACAUAACUUGAUGAUAUUACUUUCUAGCCGCUAAAAAAAAUCACCUGAUGGCUACUGGCUAGUAGCUCCACAUAAGGAAAAUUUGCUCACAAUGUCGACAACUGUAUUCGAAUUAAUAUCUUAACAGCCCCGAAAUAAAUGAAAUACCCUUUUUUUUUCCCUUUAAAAUUAUACGUGGGUUAACUUUACUUUUAGCAGUGACGUUAGCACUGACGUCAGCACUGACGUCAUUAUCCAUCCCUAUAAUAUACCUCAAAUUAACCUGAGUAACAAGAACAGCAAUGGCGGAACAACAUAAAUCAUCCAAUUCCAAGCCACCUCAUGUUCUCCUUUUCCCCUUCCCAUCGCAAGGCCACAUUAACCCCCUCAUCCAAUUUGCUAAACGCCUACUCUCCAAAGGUGUCAAAACAACGCUCGUAACCACCAUCUACACCUCAAAAACAUCCCCCUCUUCAAACACCUCCAUACCAAUCGAACCCAUUUCCGAUGGAUUUGACGAGGGUGGAUACUUGAGCGCCGACAGCUCCGAAGCCUACGUCCAGAAGUUCCGGGAAGUGGGUUCGAAGUCACUAGCUGAUCUGAUCAAGAAGCUCGAGAGUGAGGGAAACCCCAUUGAUGCUAUCGUUUAUGAUUCCUUCUUGGUUUGGGCUUUGGAUGUGGCAACGCAGUUUGGUAUCAAUGGUGGUUGUUUCUUUACUCAAGCUUGUGCUGUACUGAACAUCUAUUAUCAUGUUCAUAAAGAGCUUCUUUCGAUCCCACCUGUUGCUACUGUUUCUCUUCCUGGAUUGCCUCUGCAACUUCAACCAUGGGAGACGCCAUCUUUUGUUCAAGAUCCUGGAUCAUACCCUGGUUGGGCUCAUGGUGUGUUCAACCAGUUCUCCAAUAUUCAUCUCGCUCGUUGGGUCUUCUCAACUACGUUCUACAAACUCGAGGAACAGGUUAGUUUUCUUUUUAUUCUUUGGUUUAAUCGCUGGUGAACAUAUAUUUGUGACAACACUCAGGAUCAGAUUCUUUCUUUGAUUGAAUAGUGUCAACAAUGGCUUUCAAUCUCUUCUUUAAGCCCUAUGAAAUUAUCUAUUAUUUGUUUCGAAUAUGUAGUACAAUGGAACUAGAGGCGUUUGUAAGUUUUCAUUUUUGGUUUUAAAACAAAAACGAACCAAUCAGUAAGUUUUGUUUUUUAAUAGAUAAGAAACCAAUGUCUUAAUUCCGGGUAUAAUUUUCUAAUAUCUUUAGUUUUUGGUUCGGUUUUGUUUUUCCCGCAUGUCCCAACUUUUGAUAAUUUUUUACAUGUACAAAUGUUGUAACGCGUCGCGUGAUCUUCAUACUUGUGUGUUGGAUUUAGGUGAUAGAUUGGAUGAGAAAGAUGUGGGCAUUGAAGGCAAUAGGGCCAACGAUUCCAUCAAUGUACCUUGACAAACAGCUGGAAGACGACUACGAUUAUGGGAUGAGUCUAUUUAAACCAAACCAUAUCGAAUGCAUGAAAUGGCUAAAUGACAAACCAAAGGGAUCAGUAGUUUACGUGUCAUUUGGGAGUGGAGGCAAACUUGAACCCGAACAAAUGGAAGAAAUUGCAUGGGGUUUGAAUGAAACUGACACAAAUUUCUUAUGGGUUGUAAGGGAAACCGAAAAGGAAAAGCUACCAAAAGGAUAUGUGGCAAGUAAGGGUUUGGUUGUAACAUGGUGUAGACAAGUGGAGGUGUUAGCACAUGAGUCAAUAGGAUGUUUUGUAACACAUUGUGGGUUUAAUUCAACUCUUGAAACAUUAAGUUUGGGAGUACCUGUGGUGGGCAUGCCUCAAUGGACAGAUCAACCAACAAAUGCAAAAUGCCUAGAGGAGAUAUGGGGUGUUGGAGUACAAGUUAAGGCAGAUGAAAAGGGGAUAGUGACACGAGAAAAUUUAGUGUCGUGUAUAAAGGAGAUUAUGGAGGGUGAGAGAGGAGUGGUAGCCAGAAGAAAUGCAACCAAAUGGAGGGAUUUGGCUAUACAAGCCGUAGGUGAAGGAGGGAGCUCGGACAAGGACAUCGAUGAAUUUGUGUCUCAACUAAAAACAUAAUGUUUAUUUGUGUUCUUGAUUUUUCCAUGCUAUAGCUAGUUUGAAGGGAUUAUUCAAUGAGUAAUAAAUCCAAUUUUUUUGCAUUUUAUACCCAAAAUAUUUGUCCUCUUACCUAUGCUUGUUUGGUGUGUCCAAGUGAUACUAAAGCUAAUGAGUGUGGUGUCAAACUUGUCAUGGUCCACGUAGACACCACGCACCACGUCAUUUUUAUCAUAUUUUAGCCAAAACUUGUCAUUUGUAUGACGUAGGUUGACACACUUGUCAUGCUAUUUUUUUAAAUUAAUUUAGAAAAUAAAUAUUGCAAACAUAUUAUUUUUUUAAGAAAAUAAAUUCUAUUAAAAUAACAUAGAAAUUAAAAAAAAAAUAGAAAUUAAAAAAAAUACACAGAAAUUUAAUUUAAAAAAAAAAAAACACUAGAAAUUCGAACACACAACCCACUAUAAAUUAGAAGACAAAGACUUCAAAUUUGACGUCAUUUGGGUCUCUGCCUCACAAUUUGUUAAAACUCAACAAACUUGAAAUCAUUAUCAGUUUCAACACGGUAAGCCUCAAGAGCAUUCUCUAGCAAAGUAUUUUCGUUUUUACCAUUUCUGGCUUCAUGCAUCACCUUACGAAACACAAUGGUAAACCGAGUUGUGUGUGUGUUUCUCCAUUUGAUGUAGAGUAGAUCUUUUCUGCGAGGUUGAAUGUCUUGACGGUUGUAACUGUAGGCGAAUCUACCCCAAAAGUAGUCGCAGGGUUGUCAUUGUGGUUUGGACCUUCUACUACAUCAAUCCAUGGACAAGCAAGUAAGAUCUCUUCUUCAGUCGACCGAGCAAUAGUCAUUUCUAGUGAUGAGGUGUAGAAGAAGAUGGAAAAAUAAGAUAAUAAAAAAGUUAAGAGAAUAGAAUUAAGGAGAUUUAAUUGGGGUGGAGAGUGAAUAAUGAUAACGGUAUUUAUAGUUGAAGAUUGAGGGUUUAAAAUUUAAGAUUUUGAAAAAACGGUUAUAUUUUUGAAAUUGGGUAUUUUUUUGGGAAAAUUUGUAUUUUUUGAAAGAUGGAAAUUGAAUAAUAAUGGGAAAAAAAUCAAACAUAUUCUGAUCUCUCUCAUCGGUGAAACGUAGCUGAGAUAACGGUUCGAGCUCAGCAAGCAGAGGGGUCGGCCCAGUGUGUGUCGAUGAUGUCGAGGCCACUGUAACGCCCGUAGAUAUGGGCUAGUCAAUUUAGUGACGAUAAGCAUCAAAAGUGACUUUUUGAUAAAAGAUUAUUUAGAAUGAAUAAUCUUAACUAAGUGUAGUGGUCGUGACAAGGAUUCCGGAUAUAUAAAAAAUAUCGAAAUCCAAGUUAUAACGAAAAAGUUAUGACCUGUCGAAGUUUCGUGACAAAACAAAUACGACACUGCGUGAUGUAAAUAGUGAAUUUACAAUAGAGCGAUAUUUAGUCUUAGUGAUCUAAACAUAACUCGUAGAAUACGUUAAACCGAGAACAUACAUAAAAAGAACAUCCAAAUCUGUCUUCGUAUGAGGAAGUUAUGAUUUUUCGAAGUUUCAACUUAGGAGUAUGAAGCCCAAAGUUCGAAUAUGAGAUCAAGUGAUUUUUAGUUGAAAUAAUCUAAAAGAGAAUCAAAUAUUUCGUUAAUAGUAGUGCAACGGUAGAAAGACAAACGAAACGGAUGUCAGAUGAAGAAUUUAUGAAUUUUUAACGGACUUUUCCUGUCCUGACCUACUAAAAAUAUAAUAUUAAAAAUGAAGUCAAAAUUAGCCGACAGAAUCUAAAUAAAAGUUGUAGAGCAUAAUCUCACCUACACGUGAAUAUAAAGAACGUCGAAAAUGGAGCUCGUAUGCGAAAGAUAUGAAUUUCUGAAGUUCGGGGCACAAACUUCAACCUAUGUCAGAACUCACGACGUGAAAAUAGAGUUCACGAUGUGAACUUAGUGAUUGACACCUUCAGAGCCUGACAGACUGAUGUCGCAACUAUGCACUGGAUGACGACCAAGUUCACGAUGUGAACAAGCAUGGUUCACGACGUGAAUAGCAAAAUGCAACCCUAUAAAUAGAAAUCGAAGGCAGCCGGAUUUGGUUGCUAAUUUCUCAACCUCUCUCCUACUUUUCUCAUUAUUAAGCCUACUUUUAUCCCCCCCGAAGUCCCGAUAACAUCCCGAUACCCGAAGCAAGUCCCGAAGCCCCGAAGAUCCCGAGAAAAAGAGUUUUCAAGCCGAAGCUCUGCCCGCGAGAAGUCCGGUUUCUGAGGAAACAUUCCAGUUUCAUCGAAGAAUACUACUUGAAGAGCCAUAGUGCUGUCCGAUAAUCAUCUUAUCAAGUGAGUGUGUAGUCUCUUUCAUCUAACACAUAGAUAUGAAAUAUUUUCUAUAAAAUACAUGCUAUGUGUUUAUAUAUUGUUUGUCUAAUUGAGAUGGGUGUUAAAUGAAUGUUUUAUAUAGGUUUUAAACUACAUAUGUAUUUUAUAUUUACGAAUAUGUUGGGUAAAACAUGGGUAGAUAAAUGAGGUAUGAAAUAUGUUAUAGAUAAAUAUCAGUAGUUGCACCACAACCUAUAGAUAUUUUAAACCAUGUUAUACUCUAAACAUCCUAGCAGCUGUGCAAAAAGGAUAGUAUUGGCAGAAGCGCCUAAUAGUGAAUGUCAUAAUCCUGGCAGAUGCGCUUAAACGAUAUUGUUGGCAGUUAUGCCAUGUCAUUGGCAGUCGCGCCUUAUGCAACAACGGAAUUUGUGCUUAUUCCUUAAAAUCAAUCUUUAGGAAUGAAUGAAUGAAGGAUAAGUGAUUCUUAGGGUAAAUCCUUAAGAAAUAAAGGAGAUAAUAGGUAUGGGGAAUUUGAUUGAUUGAUUGAUGAUUAUAAAUAACAAUUAUAUUAUUGUGGGUUGAAAACCCUAUGUGUUCACUAGGCUCCCAAGCCUAACUCACUCAGUUUUUCUUUGUAUUACAGAUAGUGGCACCAGAGCAUAAGUUGAAUGAUUUAGAAAGAUAUGUUGGAUUAUAGAUUAGUAGUUGUAAAUAACUGUUGUAAGGUCUAUUUUGUACUGUUUAUGCUUUUGGUCUAUAUCGGAACAUGACGUAACAUCCAAAAUUUCAAGCCAAUUUAAACUUUUUAAAACAUGUCAAGUUCAUCAAAACAUUACAAAUUUGUUUUCAAAACAUUGAUUAUCAGAGUUUUUCCCAGAAACAUAAACACAAUAGGAGGAGCUGUACGAUCACUCCUUGGCCUUGCCUCGAUCCCCUGAUGUACCUGAAACGAUAAACUGAAACUGUAAUCCCGAAAGCUUAGUGAGUUGCCCCCAAAAUACCGAUACACAUAUAGUCCACAUAGCAAUAUCAACAUUAACAUAUCAUAUCAAUCAAAACAGAAUAGCACAUAACGGGUCCACAGCCCUACAGACUGUAAUACCCAUGAGCCCACAGUACAAGUCUCCCUUAGCCCGUAACUGGAAUGCUCCCGAGCCCUCAGUACGAGUCUGAAAUGCCUACCGGGCCCUUAGCUCGUAUCUGGAAUGCUCCCGAGUCCUCAGUAUGAGUCUGGAAUGCCUACCAGGUCCUCAGCUCAUAUCUAGAAUACUCUAGGUUUUGUUGGCUACCGCACGGAGCAGUACAACCUCAACCCAUCCCACAUAACAUGUCGACAUGUAUCAUAACUAAUGCACAUACAGAUAAUCAUACAAUAUCACAGGUAGUCCUACAGGUCUACCCGACUAGCAUAUCAACUGGCAUACAUCACUAACUCAAACUCAACAUAUCAAUAACUACUAAGAUAUCAAAUCCAAUGGGCUGGCCUUGGUGCCUUAGACCCCUUAGUAUAAUGAGGAUAACUCACCUGACAUUGUUGAAGUCCUGCAGAUAAAACUCCAGUUGCUGGUUGACAGGUUCCCAUACUGUCAUCAUCAAACAAUACCCAAUUAAUAAUUGGGUUCUAAGCCCAAGGUCCAGCUCACACUAUAAAAGCCAAAAAGUCAAUAAUGGACCAAAGCCCAACAUAUGGCCCAACUUUCCAAAUUGGGCACAACCCCUUACAUGGGACUUACCGUAGGCCCAUUAAAUUAUUUUAGUCCAUAUAAUUAUUCUUGGAUGGCCAAUUGAUAAUCCAACCAUCAAGGCCCAAUUGAAAGGCCCAACAACAAACCCAAGUGAAGUUAGGGUUUCACAUAAAAUGCCGAUUAGGGUUAAGUUUCCUACUUAACCCAUUAAGGACUUAAUCCACUAAGGACUUAAUCCAUUACGUCCAAUAUGCAUAGAUUAAUUUCUUCCAAUGAUUAUUAUUUAAUAUCUCCAGUUAUUAAAUAAUUCUCGUAUGUCCCGAUUAAUUCCCCAAAUUAGGCUUUUAUUGGCAUAAGGGUUUUUCCAAUCCAAAUACUAGCCCCUUUAUCAAUUUGUUGGGCUUGCGGGUCAAUUAGGGCUUUAUUGGGCCUAUUAGGCCCACUAGAAUAUCAUUAGUCCAUUAGGGUUUGCAUUGGGUCAAUUUGAGUCAAUUAGACCCAUCAGGGUUUUCACUAAGCCCAUUAGGCUUCAGUGGGCCCAUUAGGGUUUCUAGCACACCAAACAAAUCAAUCACAACGAGGCAAAGCACAUCGCCACCCGACACGGCGGCCGGUGGCGGCAGGGGCCCCCCCCCCACNNNNNNNNNNNNNCAGCCACCACCCUACGGUGGUGGUUUGGUUAUUUCCUUUUCACUAUACCGAUUGGUUACAAUUACAAUUCCCAUCCGAUAAUCACACUCACCCUAAUCUAAUUACAAACACACAUACUAACUACAUCAACACACACAUGGUGGCUUAUGGUGGCAGCCACCAUCUCACGGUGGUGGUGAUGCCUUGUACUUAGAAUUCCGGCCAAACACACACUAAUGAAAUAAACACACACAAAAUUAACCCAUACAUUAGCAUACACAAUCGCUAUGGCGGUCCUUUAGGUGGCAGCCACCAUGGCCGGCAGCCAUGGUGGUUCUUCACAGCUCCCAUUCGAUAGAAACCACACAUACACGCAAUCUCACUGCAAACCACGAACCGCAAUCACCAAAACAAGAUGAAAUACCGAGAACAAACCCAUCCUUGCAACACACGACUGAAACACAUGCACAACAACCACCCUCAGGGGUGGCGGAUGUUGACCGGAGUUCGGAAUAACUGUCCUGUGAGCGGCAGCGACAAAACGAAGAGUAGAGGGGGUGAGAUCCUUCACCGAGAGCGAUAACAUCGACUGAAAUCGGUGUGUUUCUUCCAUCCCGACAGUGGCCAACGAUGGCGGAGCUUGACGGCAACGCAACCCAGCAGCGAUAACGACAACAUAGCAACCGGCGACUAGGAGGAACGAAGGCACGACGGUUGAGAAAAAAAUAAUAGCAACCACGACAUCCAGGUCCAAUCCCAUCACCAAAGUUUUGAUUACAGUCGUUGGGUGGUUCAAGGCGACGACGAAGGGGUUAGCGGCGACUGGAAGAUGGAGGGAUAAGGUGGCGGCGACUGAGAGAUCAUUUAGGUUAGGGUUUGGGAAUGGUUGCGUUCAAAAUAAAGGGGACGAGAGAAGUAGCGUCUUAAGUCCCGAUCCAUAUGAAAGUUUGACACAUUUUUACAAGUUUGGCCCCUGACUUCACAAUCUAAUUCUGAUAAAAUCCAAUAUUUACCCUACAACCCUUGCUCUACAAAAUUCAUUUCAAUACAAGUCCCGCACUUACACUUAAACCCUCGAAAAUCAAAAGUAUCUCAUUUGGCACCCCGAAACCAACCCCCACUAGUUAAUAUCCGAAUUGAACAAUAAUAAUAUAAAAUAAUAAUAAAAACUACUUCUCGGGGUUCCAGGUUUAUUAUUUAAUUAUUCUAUUAACACGGGAUGUUACACAUGACAUCUCGAGAUUUUUGAUAUAUAAUGUAAAAUCAUUUCUUUAAGAAAUGCUUUGAUAAAUUCUUAUCACAUUUUGUUUUGGAAACAAAUUCUGCAACUCUUUUAAUCAAAGGAUUACUCUGAUUUUAUUUUAAAAGCAUAAAUUAAAUCGGUCUUUUCUGGCGUAAAAAUGGAGAUGUCACAGCCACUGUCGAGUCCAUGCCCACCAGCCUAAUGGACUUGAUGUAGGAUUAUCCUAAGAUUUGUUAAAUUAAAACUAGAUGAAUAUGGGUUCUACAUGAUAUAAUUAUACAAUUGAAGUAUUUAUAAAUAUAAAUUGUUCAAAAUAAUAAUGUCUUUGUAAUUAACUUUGAAAUAAUGAUUAAUAUAUAAAACAUUAAUUAUUUUGAAAAUUUAUGAGACAUACAUCUAUUACUUGUGAAUAAAUAUAAUAUAAUAUAUGUUUUAAUAUUAGUUUUAGUUGUAGUUAUGCUUAACUAUUUUUUUUAAUCUUUUCUUAUUUUUUUUAGUUCCUGUCAUUAAAAUUACUUAAUAUACCAAACAUUGUUUUUUUAAGAUAAAAAUAUAAUUAUUUAAUAUUAAUUUUAAUUAUUGUUGAUGUCACUUAAUUUAAAGCUACUUCUAUAAAAAUCUCUUAAUGAUUAUAAAAAAAUAAGAUAUUUUUUUUAUUUAAUUUGAGGUUACAACUUAGAUUUUAUAUUUAACUAUAAUUUGAAACUUUUAACUAUUUAUAAAGCAGUAUUUAAAUGUUAUUUUGAAUUUAAUUAACAUUUUGAUUUAAUUUAACCCUUAAAUGUCAUAUUUAAAUUAAUAAUUUAAGGAUUGUAUAUUAAUUAUUCAAAAGUUGUGACAUUAAAUUGAAAAUGGUUCGUAUACAACAACAUUUACAAACUAAUAUGCUAAGUAAAAUAUGUUAAAAGUUAAAGACAUAACUUUAUAAAUACAAUUAAAAGAAUAUAUUAGAAUUAAUAUUGAAUUUUAGUUAAUUUGAUGUUACAAUUUAGGUUUGCAAUUUAACAUUUAUUUUAUAACUUUUAACCAUUUAAAAAUUAAUCUUUAAAUUUUCUUUUAAAUUUAGUUGGUAGUUUAAGUUAACACUUUAACAUUAUUAUAUUUAAAUUGACAAUUAAAGUAUUUUACAUUGAUUCAAAAGUUAUUCAGAUUAAUAGAAAAACAUCUAGAUAUGCCAUUAAUUUAAUAAAUAUGAAUUGUAGUUUAGGUUUUAAAGAUAGCUACAAUAUANUUAUUUGAAACUCUCAUGCAUUUUUCCUUUCAUCACAUUCAUAUGAAACUCCCAUGAGUUUUUAAUUUUUUUCUGAUAAUGAUUAUAAGUUGGUUAAUAAUAUUAAAUAAAUAUAAAACCUAAAGUGUAAUCAUAUAUAAACUAAAUUUCAAUAUUAAAAGAAUACUUAUAAAGUUAUAUUUUUUAACUUUUAACAUAUUAUACUUAGUUUAUUAGUUUUAAUAUAUUGUUGGAUGUAACCAUUAUCAUUUUAAAGAUACAAUUUUGGAAUAAUUUGUAUAAAAUACUUAAAUUAUUAAUUUAUAUAUAACAUUAUAGUGUCAACUUAAAUAUAAAUUUUAGUUUAACUAAAACAACCCAAACAAUAUUUUGUAAAUAGUUAAAAAUGAUAAAUUUUAGUGUCUUUCUAAUAAUGAUUAUAAGUUGGUUAAUAAGAUUAAAUAAAUAUCAAAUCUAAAGUGUAAUCAUAAAUAAAAAAAAUUCAAUUUUUAAAUAAUAUUUUUACUUCUACUUAUAAAGUUAUGUCUUUAACUUUUAAUAUAUUAUACUUAAUUUAUUAGAUUUAAUAUGUUAUAUGUAAAUCAUUAUCAGUUUAAAGAUACAACUUUUAAAUAGUUUGGACAAAAUACUUAAAUUGUUAAUUUAAAUAUAACAUUACAAUGUCAACUUAAAUAUAAAUUUUAGUUCUACCUAAAAACCAAAGAAUAUUUUCGAAAUAGUUAAAAGUGAUAAAUUGUAGUGAUAAAUACAAAAACUAAAUUGUAAUCUCAAUUUAACUAAAAUAUUUCAUAAAAAUAUUUUUAUAAUCGUUAAAAGUUUUCAAAUAAGUAGCUUAAAAUAACUUACAAUAACAAUAGUUAAAUAUAACUCUAUAUAAAUGAUUAUAUUGAUACUUUUAAAAUCAAAAAAUAAUGUUGGAUGUUUUAAAUAAUUAUAAUGAUAGAAAAUAAAACAUUAAGCAUAUAAAUUUAAAAAAAUUAAUUAACAGUAACAACAACUACAUAUAUCAUAUUUAAUUUUAUUCAUGUGUAAUUCGCGGGUAGAAAUCAUUCAAACGAUUAAAAUUAUAAAGUUAUAAUAGAUGUAUAUAUUAUCAUAUAAUUAAAAAUAAUCAAUAUAUUAUAUCAAUUUAGUAUACAAAUUAUUAUAUCAAAUUUAACAACAACGUUAUUGNAUAUGUAAAAACUUCAACUAUAUGGGUGUUUCUGCGCAACGCGAGGGCAUUCGCCUAGUCAUUUUAAUGAGUUUUGAGUGAGAGUUUGGAAUAAAGUUUGUAACUUUAUUACUCUCCAAGGUCCCAAGAACAUUAUAUGUUUCAGAUCUGGACUCCAACACUUUUUAGAUCAGUUUAAAAUGUUUUCUUGGACCUCAUGGACUAGGAAAGUUUUGAUCUUUUGCCUUCCCUUUCAGCUAUGCAAGUUAUUUGAGUCAUUUAGGCUAUUUUGGUGAAUUAAAUUUUAGAUCUUGAAAGCUUGAGACGUUAUUAUGGAUAAAGUUGGAAACUUUAUCCAUCUAAACAUCAUAUUGAUUUAGAUCUAAAGGUUGACGACUUGGACUUAAUGAAUUUAGCUGAGAAAGAAGCAUUUUUGGUCCCUUUGAGACUUAAUGACCAUAUCUUGAUUGUUUGGACCAUCCUAAUGAAUAAAGUUUGAAACUUUAUCUAUUAUGAAGCUAUUUAGGAACUAGAUAUAAGGUUAUGAGCCUAGGUCUGAAGAGAUUAAGCACUUAAUGAAGAUUAUGGUCUUCUGGACAGAAGUCACAACAUGACAUAUAAUGUGUCACGACGUGACAGUUCCUAGAAUCGUAAUUUUUUAUCGUUGCAUUCUGAUGACGUGACAUUGACUUUGACUAAUUUGAACGUUAACUUUUUGAUCAGUUUGCCUUUUGGUCAAAGUUGGGUAGAAUUGAGCAUUUCUUGGGUAGAAUUGAGUAUUUGACUAAGAAUUGGUCUUCAUUUGGUUUUAGAAAGUUUAGGUUAGCUGUUCUGAUGCUAAGGUAGCUGUUAAGCUUCUGUCGAGUAGUUUAGGUGAGUCUUCUCGCUAUGCUCGUGGGUCGAGGGCACAAAAUGUCGGUCCACUAGAUUAUGUUAUCUUUGUGACUUUUUCAUUUUUGUUUGGGUAGAAAUAUACCCCAGGGCAGGGCCCGUUGAUAUGUAUUGGGUUGAAAUAUACCCCACGGAACGGCCCAUCGAUAUGUAUUGGGUUGAAAUAUACCCCAAGGCAGGGCCCAUUGAUAUCUAUUGGGUUGAAAUAUACCCCAAGGCGGUUCCCAUUGAUAUGUAUUCGGUUGAAACAUACCCCAGGGAGGGGCCCACUGAUUUGCAUGAUAUGCGGUAUUUUGGGGAACUCACUAAGCUUUAUGUUUACUUUUAUGUUUAAAAUGUUUUCAAGUACUUUUGGUUUCAAUAGGAAGGUUGAAAUAUACCCUAAUGCAGGGCCAAAUGAUAUUUAUUGGGUUCAAAUAUACCCCAGGGCGGGGCCCUUUGAUAUGUAUUAGGUUGAAACAUACCCCAGGGCGGGGCCCAAUGAUUUGCAUGAUAUGAGGUAUUUUGGGGAACUCACUAAGCUUUGUGCUUAUAGUUUAUGUUUAAAAUGUUUUCAGGUACUUCUGGUUUCAAAAGGAAGGGCCAGGCUAGAUCACACUGCAUCCCCUGGAUAUUAUUCUGCAAUGAUUGUUUAUGAUUUUACUUUGAUCUAUUGUGAACACUUUUACUCUAAUAAUCUUUCAGAAUAAUGAAUUAAUUGUUUUGGCUUAAUUAAAAUGAAAAUUUUACUCGGUAUUUUUGGUAAAUUUCAAGUUGGUAUCAGAUCCUUGGUUUGAGUGAUUCGGGCACACUCUCGGGUGUGUCUGAACUCAAACUGAGGAGUUAAUAAAAUAUUUUAAAAGAAAAUGAGUUUCCAAAAAGGUUUUCAAGAAAAAGGGAUGCGAUGCAUACAAUUAGUCGAGCUCAAGUAAGUAUUUCCCAAAAUACCUAUAAAUGUGUUAUGCUUAUAAUUUUGGUAUGAGUAUAUGAGAAUUGCAUGCUAGAUUAGGGAUAAGGAUCUGCUCAGGAUUUACAUGAUAGAAUGCUAGGAGAGAUGGCUUUAUAUGCCUAUUGAUUGAGCUUUUGGAACUGUAUGCUAGUAUGGAUUUCAGAUGUUGGAUUAAAUGACCUGAUUUGUGAUGCCUUAUAGCCUAGGAGGAAUCGGAUGUUAUGUCAGAUUUGGAAUCUGUGUUGGUGGAAUUGAUUGCUAAGUGUAUGCUUUAAAUUUUAUAUAAGAUCAGGAUUAUAUAGCCACAGAAGGACUGAUUUGGUCAAAUUUGGAAUCUGAGUUGGUGGAAUCGAUAGUCAAUGCAAUCAUGUUUUGUGUAUAAUUUGCAUGCAUAAGGAAACCACUAGUGUUAUUAGAAGUUCCUAGCAUCGCAAAAUCAAGUUAGUUAGAAAAUGCAUUUUUAUGUUUUGUGGCCUAUAGAAUGUUACUGCCCGAAUGCUGCUUGCUUUGUGCUUUGUGGAACCCAUAUUGAUGUGAGCUAACUAUUAAAUGAAUAUGUUAAGUUACAUGCCGCAAAGGUUAAAUAAUUUUAGAAUGGUUGAUUUGGCCAUAUUGCACAACUCUUGUUUGAGUCUAACCGUUGUAGGUUUGGAUUCGCAAAAUUAUUUGAGUUUUGUUGCAUCUAACUGUAUUCAUGAGUAGUUAGCUGAUAUUAGAAGGGCUUUUUUAGCAGCUGAUGGCAGGGAGAGGUGGGAAUCCUAGGAAAUCCUAGGAAGUGCUUCAGAGGAAUUGGUAAGAUGUUUAGUGUAUGUAUUCAUUUAAAAGCGGGUAUAUGUGAUUGGAUCGGACAGUAGAGGACAUGAGUAGUUACUUAGAGGGUUCGAAACAAUUCUUGAGGAAAGUACAGAUAGGUGUGGAAGGUAGUAUUAGGCUCGUACUACUGAAAGCACAUGAUCCGCACUCGGAUCGAGGAGGAUUUAAGGGAUUCUAAGGAGCUGAUGGAGGGUAGAUUGUAUGGUUUUGGAACCAUGAUUCAUUGCAAUGUGUUUCCGUCUUAUUCGAUUUAUCGGUUAUGGUUGUUCAGGCUGAGGAUAGGUCUGGUGAUUGUUUGGGCCUUAGUGGCCAUGUCAGUGUGGGUUUGAAAUGUGCAGACCUAGGUGAGUUAGUUGAUUUUUAGGUCUUGAGGGCCUUGCUCAAGAUAGUGCCAGUUGAGGCACGAGACUCAAGAAGGAAGCGAUUGUGAUGAUCGGCUAGAGGGUUAAAAACCAGAGGCUAUGUGAUUGAUUGAUGGAUUAGAAUGUCACUAACUACAAAGGAGGUUGUGUUCUUCCAGCUUUUCGUGUUCGAAGGUAAAAGAGAGUAUACAUGAGAUUCUCAGAGUUAGGAUGUAGACUCAACAUGAAGCUAGAUAGUUACGGUUUUUGGCAGUUGUCCUUGGUUAUUGGGAGUUCGAGAGUUGGAGCAAUAUUGUUUAGCUUUUCAGGUGUGGCUUAGGAUCUGCGCAGAAUCCAACUUUUUGGCAUGCCAUGUCGACAGGGUUGGUAUUUGGAUUUAUCCAACCAGGGUUUUAGCAAUAUUUUUGGAUAACUUUAGAAGUUUUAUCAAUAUAGUUACGUAUUGGUGGAGCCUGUUUAGUUUCAAUCAAGGUGUAGGAUCUUGUUUUAGUCAUUAUUGAGGUUGUUUCUGUUAAUAGUUGAGGUUUGUCAUUUUGUUAGAUCUACUGCUACUUCACCCUUUAGGCAAGUUUGUGAGGAAGAAGGAAUGCAGUAAAUCUUUGGAUUGGUUAUAGGUUCCCUUGAAGGUGGAUAUCGUGGUAGUUCGUCGAGUAUGAUCAUGAGGGGUGUAUGUGGAUUGAGUAAGAUAGCAUGAGAACACUUGGUUCGAAUUAUUGUCAUGGUUCUUAUUUGGUUUAUAGAUUUUGAAUUUGUAACAAGAGUACGACCUCUUAUCUCAUUCUCUGGUUCUAUAUGACCAUGUUUUCGUCGAAUUUUGCAUUGGUGGCAGCCUGUACUAUGAAAUGAAUUAUGCACGAUAGAAGGUUAUGAACCAUGUUAGGUUUAGUUAAAGUUGAUAGGGAUGUUGAUUGGGUUCCUGUAAGUACAUGGGUUGAUGGUUGAGUAUCUUUAGGCCCCUAUGGUGAUGAUUAUGAGUCUUUAGGAAAAUGAUGGAAUGACAGGAAGAUCGACGUAGUACCAUGAACUUAUCGUUUUAGUGGUUAGAAUGUAUCAUGAUGUAUAGUGAACCAGUGGUUGUAUGAUUCAUAUGGGUGAGACCCGGUAGGCAUUUGAUUAAGACUCUUAGGUCUCGGAUCGUUAGUCUUAUCACGUGGUCAGUAAAAGGUAUGUUGGGAGUAUUAAUGGUGCAUCAGAAAUCUCUUGCUGAAUAUUUGAAUAUUGAUCCCCAUUGCUUGCCGGUUGUUUACUAGGAGUUUGGUUACCAAUGUUGGGUAUCAGUUUUGGAAUCUCGAGUCAUAAAGUUUGUGUAAAUGUAUCAAGUGAUUUAUCAGGGGGAUGUACACCUGAUCUGAAGAGGGAUUUGGAUGUAACGUGGGAUUCUUAGAUUUACCAUUAUUAUGAUCGUCGGAGCAGCGGGUUGGUGAUGAAUUAUCAGGAAGUCAAGUGUGUAGUUAAGGUUUUUGGGCACAAUUUCCAAAAUUGGGAUUAGAUGGAAUUCACAAUUGUAAUGUUUUGAGUACUCUUUCUAUAUGAUUUGGUGGUGUUCCUAGUCUGGGAAGUAGGGUUAGGAAUGAAGAAUGGAUGAUCAUCAGUCUUAGGGUAUUGUUUCUGAAGCUUAUACUGAUGGGUUCCCGGUUACGGGGAGUAUAUUCAUGGAGUUAGUUUAUGGUUGUAGUUUUGAGAGUUCUCAGUUUGAAUGGUUUUCACUGAAAGUUGAUUUUUUCAGUUAGGGAGAGAAAGAUAGUGGUUACAGUUGAGUAUCUUCAAGUUAUUAGGUUGUUUGUUGGUAGUUUUGGGUUUUGGAGUAGUCUCUCGAGGUUUCUUUAUAAUAUGCCUUGAUUUCAAAGUGGUUAAAGAAAGCUUAUGGAAUGUGUUGGCAUUGUUUUUCAAAGAUCCUAACAAAGAUGGAUUUCUAGGAUGAAAUCCAAUUUAAGUGGGGGAUAGUUGUAACAUCCUGUUUCAAGAAGUUUCUUAUUUCGGGAUUGUGGACAAUAAAUGGAUCAAGCAAAAGACUUAGGCUUUAAGGGAAUGGGGUUUAGACCGUAUUGGAUGAUAAUAAAGUUAGAUAAGUUAUUAAAGCCUUCGAUUUGUGCUUGGAAGAAAAAUUGGAAAAUAGGAAAAGUAAUAUUCCAUGCUUCUGGCAUGGAUUAUGGAUUUAGUUCGACAUGUAUUAAGUCAAAAGCGAUUACAUAGGGUUGUGGGUCACGUCAAUACCUUUUUGUGCAUAUAAAGAAUACUAAAAAUGGAGUUGAAACGAAGAAGUUAUGACUGUUGAAGUCGGAAUGAAAGUGGGUGAAAAUCCAUUCUCAUGAUGUGAGAGUGCUUACGGGGUGAGAAUAUAUUCUCAUGACAUGAGAACUGUGCAACCCAAAGCCUACAAAAUUUUUAGGGUUUUCAAGGUAUUUAAAGGUAAGGAUUCAUGUUUUAGGGUAUUUUCUUAGCCUCCAUCAUAUCUAGAACCUCUUGGGUGAAACCCUAGCCUCCAUUUUCAAGAUUUAAGCCUCCCUUCUCCUCUCUCAUCUAUUUUUGGAGUUUUUGAUGGUUUUGGAGCAAUGUUUUCAUACAAGAUUGAUCCUUGAAGCUUGGCAAUUAAAGAAGACAACUUUCAUCUACCUUCUAGACCUCUGUAAGUUAUAAAGUUCCAAGCUUUAUUGUAUUUCAUCUUUGGAUCUAAUUGUAUUUGGUGUUUUGGUCCAUUUUAAUGAGUUUUGAGUUAGAGUUGUGAAUAAAGUUUGCAACUUUAUUACUCUCCAAGGUCCCAAGAACAUUGUAUGUUUAAGAUCUGGACUCCAACACCUUUUUGAUUAGUUUAAAAUGUUUUCUUGGACCUCAUGGACUAGGAAAGUUUUGAUCUUUUGCCUUCCCUUUCAGUCAUGCAAGUUAUUUUAGUCAUUUAGGCUACUUUGGUGAAUUAAAGUUUAUAUCUUGAAAGCUUGACACAUUAUUAUGGAUAAAGUUGGAAACUUUAUCCAUCUAAACAUCAUAUUGAUUUAGAUCUGAAGGUUGAAGACUUGGACUUAAUAGAUUUAGCUAAGAAAGAUGCAUUUUUGGUCCCUUUGAGACUUAAAGACUAGAUGUUGAUUAUUUAAACCAUCCUAAUGGAUAAAGUUGGAAACUUUAUCCAUUAUAAACCUUUUUUAGAACAAGAUCUGAGAUUAUGGACCUUGAUCUGAAGAGAUUAAGCACUUAAUGAAGAUUUUGGCAUUCUGGCUAGAAGUCACGACGCGACAUAUAAUGUAUCAUGACGUGACGGUGCCCAUAAUCACGAUUGUUUUGUCAUUUCAUUCUGAUGACGUGACCAAGGGAUGGUCACGGCGUGACAUUGACUUUGACUAAUCUAUCGUUGACUUUUUGACAAGUUUGACUUUUAGUCAAACUUGGGUAGAAUUGAGAAUUUGAAUAAGGAUUGGUCUCGUUUGGUUUUAGGAAGUUUGGAUUAGCUAUUCUGAUGCUAAGGUAGCUGUUGGGCAUCUUUCUAGUAGUUUAGGUGAGUCUUCUCACUAUGAUCGUAGGUCGAACGCACUAAAGCCAGCCUACGAGAUUAUGUUGUGUAGAAUGUUGGGCUUCUAUCUAGUAGUUUAGGUGAGUCUUCUCACUAUGCUCAAGUAAAAUUUUCAUUUUAAUUAAAUCAAAACCAUUCAUUCAUUAUUACAAAAGACAAUCAGAGUAAAAGUAUUCGCAAAACAUUAGAGUAUAAUCAUAAUCAAUAAUUGUGGAAUAAUAUACAUGGGAUGUAGUAUGAUCAAGCCGGACCUUUCCUUUUGAAACCAGAAGUACCUGAAAACAAUUUAAACAUAAAUCAUAAGCAUAAAGCUUACUGAGUUCCCUAAAAUACCACAUAUCAUGCAAAUCAGUGGGCCCCGCCCUGGGAUAUGUUUCAACCUAAUACAUAUCAAUGGGCCCCACCCUGGGUUAUAUUUCAACCCAAUACAUAUCAAUGGGCCGUGCCCUGGGUUAUAUUUUAACCCAAUACAUAUUGGUGGGCUCCGCCCUGGGGUAUAUUUUAACCCAAUACAUAUCAAUGGGCCCCACCCUAGGCUAUAUUUCAACCCAACACAUAUCGGUGGGCUCUGCCCUGGGUUAAUUUUUAACCUAGUACAUAUCAAUAGGCCUCAUCCUGAGGUAUUUUUCAACCCAAUACAUAUCAAUAGGUUCCGCCCUGAGGUAUAUUUCAACCCACACAUACAUCCAAAAGUCAUUUCAAUAUGAUUCCAAUGCAUAUAAUCAAUGGUUUAUUGACCAUAUUAUGAAGUUAAUACAAAAAGUGCGCAUUAGAAAAAGGAGUCAACUCAUUUGAAGUUAAUACCUAUUAUGUAACGACCCAAUUUUCAAAAGAAAGUUUUCAAUUUUUUUAUUAAUCAAACACAUUUCCAUAAAACGUGAAAUCCCAAAACAAUUGUUUUCAAAUCCACAUUCAUUACAACUUUAUUUUAAAACCACAGAGUGUCCCGCAAAAUGCUUGUGUGAGAGUGCACGUCACACCAUCACGCCUUGCACUUGCCAUUGGGAUCGGAUGUACCUAAAACAAAUCCACAACAUGUAAGCUAAUGCUUAGUGAGUUCCCCAGAGCAUACCCCCCCCCNNNNNNNNNNNNNNNNNNNNNNNNNNNNNNNNNNNNNNNNNNNNNNNNNNNNNNNNNNNNNNNNNNNNNNNNNNNNNNNNNNNNNNNNNNNNNNNNNNNNNNNNNNNNNNNNNNNUGCCAUUGGCUACCCCACAUGGUCUUUACCUGGGAAUGCCAUGGGCUACCCCACAUGGUCUUAUGUCCAACUGCGUGCUUCCCAUGGGGUAUUUCAUGCAAUAAUAUACAUAAUCAACCUAGCAUAUCAUAUUACAGAAUCAUCUAACAUACUACAUAUGCAAACAUAAACCUAUAAGGAUGUUGUGGGCUCCCCCAGGGUCUUACACCAUCAUGCCAUAGGCUACCCCACAUGGUCUUUACCUGGGAAUGCCAUGGGAUACCCCACAUGGUCUUAUAUCCAAUUGUCACGGGCUCCCCUCAGGGUCUUUCAUGGAAUAACAUACAAUCACCUAGCAUACCACAUAUCUCUACAAAUGCUAGUGUACCGCAUAACAUAAAAUAGGCCGACCUUGGUGCCUUAGACCCAUUGGUAUGGUGAGCAGACUCACCUCUGUUAGUAGAAUCCAAAGGCUGUUCUCCUAACAAUCUGUAGACACUCGUGCUAAACAAUAAUAAUAUUACCCAAUGUUAGGAUCUAACACCAUCUAAGUGGGGAACCCAAAUCCUCAAGUACUUUUACAAAGGCCCACAAGGUCUUUCUUAGCUAAUGGGCCCAAAGUCCAUAUCCAAAGUCAUUAAUGGGCCUCAUGGCCCAAUAAAGCCCAAUUAUAACAUCCUUGGUCCAAAACAGAAAAACUAGCCCCCUAACCCCAAAACAAGACCAGGCCCAAUGACUACUUGAGGCCCAACAACUCAAAGUCCCAACACAAAUCUAAGUCCAUCUGAUGUGCGUACGCUUAGCGUACUGCCUUGGUACGUGCAACGUACUGAGUCCCUCGGCCUUACGCGCUGCGUACGCUAGGUUACGCCUGACGUACUAACAGGUUAAGCGCUUUCUCCAUUAAGUGCUUAAUACUUAAUUUCUCACGUCUAUUAGUCAGAUCUAAGCUUAUUAAGACGACCUAGGGCAUAAAGUUGGCAACUUUAUGCCUUUGCAUGUCUCAUAUGUUCCCAGCAACCCUGUUAAGACCUUUUUAAGGUUCCUAAUCCAUGCAUGAGGUCACAACACCCAUCAAGACUUCAUUUUUAUGUCAUAAAUGGACCAAAGGACCUCAGAUCUAACCUUUCCAACCUCUGGAGUUGCCCAACUCACAAGAGGAGAUACAAAACCAACAAAAGGUACCAAACUAGAAAACCCUAACUAGAUCUAAUGAAUAAGAUGGAAAGAUCAAAGCUUUAUACCUCCAGAAGCUCCUUAAGGUGAACUAGGUGCAGAUGCUUGAAGCCCAAUGUCACUCCAAGCUGGCUUGACAACUUCUCCUUCUUGAAUGGACACUAAAAUGGCCCUAAAUGCACUCUCUAAGCUCAAAAAUGAUCUUAUAAACUCUCUCUGGAGAAUAAGGGCAAAAUAAGGUUGUGGAGACUGUCUAGGGUUAGGUCAAAGAAGCUUAAGGACAUUUAAAUAGGCCUCAAGUCUAGAAAUUAGGGUUUUAGAUGUCUGUCACAUACACCCAACGUACUCCUGGUAUGCCCAACGUACGUGCUACCCCUCCACGAUCCUCCUUGCAAAGUACACUAAGUGUACCCAUAAGUAUGCCCAACGUAUUUAAGGGACUUAUUAUGCUAUAUUUAAAACUCUUCAAGGGCUUCAAGGUAAUACCUGAUUUGGAGUGUUACAACUCUCCCCCACUUGAACUAGACUUCAUCCUCAAAGUCCAUAGUUGUGAAUAGAUCGAGAUAAUGCUACCGCAUCUCCUCCUCCGGCUCCCAUGUUCAUUCGAAGCCCCUACAGUGCUGCCAUUACACAUUUACAAGCUUCACUUCCUUGUUCCAAGGACCCUUUGUCUUCCUGUCUAAGAUGGAAACCAGCCUAUCAAUGUAGUUCAGGCUCACAUAUACCUGAAUAUCGUCCAGUGAAAUGAUUGCGGACUCGUCAGUGACACACUUUCGAAGCUGAGACACGUGGAAGGUGUUGUGAAUCUGGCUAAGCUCCUUCGGCAGAUCCAACCAAUAUGCCACCUUUCCCACCCAGGCCAUGAUCCUGAACGAGCCUAUGUACCGAUGCCCCAACUUGACCCUCUUCCGAAACCCGAUGAUCCCCUUUUAGGGCGACACCUAUAGUAACACAAAAUCCCCCACCUGGAACUCAAGAUCUAAUUGCCUCCGAUCAGCAUAAAUUUUCUGAAGACUCUGCACGUCCCGCAGCCAAUCGCGCACCUGCUGAAUCAGCCUGAUAGUCUUAAGCACUACCUCAGUGCUCCUUAUGACCCGGUCCCAACCUCGUCCCAACAAACCGAAGUCCUUCACCUCCGACCAUAUAACAUCUUGAAUGGAGCUCGAUCGAUAUUGGCAUGAUAAUCGUUAUUAUAUGAAAACUCUGCCAAUGGGAGGUAUGUGUCCCAACUCCCUCUAAAAUCCAACACGCAUGCUCAAAGCAUGUCCUCUAGUGUCUGGAUCGUCCUCUCGCUCUUGCCAUCAGUCUGGGGGUGGUACACCAUGCUAAAAUGUAGCCGAGUGCCCAGUUCCUCGUGGAACUUCUUCCAGAACCUGGAUGUAAACUGGACAUCUCUGUCAGAGACUACCAACACUGGCACCAUGUGUCUAGUCACCACCUAUCAUACAUAAAUUUCCACCAACUUCUCCGCGGAUAUACUCUCAGAAAUCGGAAUGAAGUGGGCACUCUUCGUCAGUCUGUCCAUGAUCACCCAUAUGGCAUCCACACCCCUCGCCGUCCUCGGUAACUUCGUGAUAAAUUCCAUAGUGAUCUCUUCCCAUUUACACAUGGGAAUGGGUAGAGGUUGUACCUUUCCAUGAGGCCGCUGAUGCUCGGCCUUAACCUUCUUGCUGGUCAAGCACCGCUCCACAAACCAGGCGAUCUCCCGCUUCAUGCAGGGCCACCAAUAACUCAGUCGCAAGUCUCUAUACAUUUUUGUAUCUCCUAGAUGUAUAGAAAACUUGGACUUGUGUGCCUCCUCUAAUAUCCUCUGUCUCACUCCUCCAAUCAUCGGUACCCACACUCGGUCACACUGUGUCGAAAUGCCAUGACUAUCCUUAACAAACAAAGGAUAUUGUCCCCGAAUCUGCUCUGUCUUCCAAUUCUCUUUCUUUAUCAUAUCCAAUAAUGGAGAGAUCACUGCCAUCCUCAUACAAACGUUCCCAAUCGGGGACCCCGCCGUCUUACGGCUCAAAGCAUCAACCACUACGUUGGCCUUCUCUGGAUGGUAUAGGAUCUCACAAUCAUAAUCCUUCAGCACAUCUAACCACCUCCUCUGUCUCAUAUUGAGGUUGUGCUGAUCUAUCAGAUACUUCAAACUCUUGUGAUCAAUAUAGAUGGUGAACCGCACUCCAUACAAGUAAUGCCUCCAAAUCUUGAGGGCAAACACCACUGCCCCCAAUUCCAGGACGUGAGUGGGGUAAUUUUCCUCAUGAGGCUUCAACUGCCUCGAGGCAUAAGCUAUCACAUGCCCCCUCUGCAUCAGUACCGCACCUAACCCUGAAAUCGAUGCGUCACAUUAUACCACCAAAUCAUCUAACCCCUCGGGUAGUACUAAAAUAAGAGCCUUGCAUAACCUCCAUCUCAGGGUCUCAAAAGCCAACUGCUGAUCCGUGCCCUACCGAAAUGUCACAUUCUUCUUGGUCAAGCUGUAACAACGUAAAUUUUCAAACAAAUUUUUCAUUUCAAAAUAAAGUAUUUUCAUUCAAACAAGGCAUAAACAUUCCAAGUGUCAUGUCAAAAUAUAAGUCAUAUGAAUCCCAAGAUCACAAAACAUCUAUCAGUGUGUACAGAUCACGCCGGCGCCUUCCCACGGUCCUCGCUAGUACCUGAAACACAUACAUAACAACUGUAAGCAUAAAUGCUUAGUGAGUUCCCCAAAGUACAACUUACGCACAUACGCCUUUCCAGGCCCUGACCUUCCGGUCCAUGUGUCUCAGGGGACUUCCGUCCCUGCUGGGUAAACCUUCCGGUCCUACCCACGCCAACCUUACGGUCCAGAUUACACGCCUUCCGGCCCAUAACAUAAUGCCUUCCGGCCCACAUAAACAUACAUAGCACGCAUAACAAUUAUCUUAUCACAUAUAGCACAUAUAUCACAUAUCAUAUCCGACCUUCCGGUCACACAGUCAAACCCUUCCGGGUACGGUAUAGUGAGAAGACUCACCUCGUGAAUAUCGAAAGCUAGCAAAUCCCGAAGUCACUCGUGCUCGAUCCGCCGAGCUACAAUCUCCCUAUAACAUCAUACAUCUCUUAUUAACACUUUUAUCUUCUAAGUUUGACUAUCCCUAAGAAGUCAAACAUAGGUCAACUCUGGUCAACGGUCAACGGUCAACUUGACCGGACUCGGCGAGUGCUAGGGCGACUCGGUGAGUCUACACGUUCUCACCAAUUCUCUAAUAUUCCCUUUCUACACGUCGAGUAUCCCCCUUGAAUCGACGAGUUCCUCCUGGAAGAAUCGUGGGGCCACCCCGACUCAACUCGCCGAGUCUGAAGAACGACUCGACGAGUCCCAGUUAAUCUUCAAGCUACUCGCCGAGUCUGUUCAUCGGACUCGGCGAGUCCAUGCCAUGCAACCGCUCAAACUGCUUUCUAAGGUCAGAUCUGCUCCGGCAAUUCAUAGGUCUGGCCUUCCUAGACUGGUUCAUCACGUAAAGUCCUCAUUUCGGUGCUCAUAAUACACCCCAUGACUCAUAAUUGACGUUUUAACCUAAGGCAUAAGGAUUCCAAUCCAAAACCUCCAUUGAUUCCCGAAAAGCUCAGGCAUGGGACAUUCUGGACUUCCAAGGGUCCCAAUAUAGGGUUCCAAUCGCUUGGGGGACUAAGGAAACACUCAACCUAGCCACAAAAGGGUGCAAUAAACCCUAAAUCCAUAUACACAUCAACAUAGAAGAAUGCAACUCGAAAACAUUACCUGAAUAACGUUGCUCUGUGUCCCCAAUCCUCAGAAUGUGGCUUCUCUUGUUGUUCCCUUAACCAAGCCUCCUCCUCCUUGCAAAAUAACACUUCCAAGGUCAAUAAUGGUCUUCUACCUUGCUCCAGAUGCUCUCAAUCGAAUUAGGGUUUCACUCACAGGACUAGGGUGAACAAUGACGGCCAUAAGGCCCCUUAUAUAUGUCCCAAACCUGAACGGUUAGGGUUUCGCUAAACAACGCGGACUCGCCGAGUCCAUAUCCGGACUCGUCGAGUCCAGUCGCGAACCCGCGAUCAGAUCCGCGAUCCUACUCGGCGAGUCUGAGCUCCAACUCGCCGAGUCCCCUCUUAAAACACCCAAAAAUCAUAAAUAUAACGAUACCUGGAAUUCCGGGCUGUUACAUAAGCGGGUCAAUGGCACAACAAUUUUGGAGAAAUCCUGGAUAAAUCUCCGAUAAUAGCUCACUAAAACCAAGAAACUAUGGAUCUCAGACGCAUUUUUCAAUACUUCCACCGCAUCACUGCCACAACCUUGGCUGGACCAACCGAAAUUCCCUCCUGGUUGAUGAUGUGCCCCAAAAAUUGUACCUCUCACAGCCAAAAAUCACACUUGGAGAACUUGGCAUAUAGCCUCUUCGCCCUCAGGGUCUCCAAUACCUCCCUCAGAUGUGGCUCAUGCUGCUCCCUGGUCUUAGAAUAGACCAGGAUAUCAUCAAUAAAGACGAUCACCGACCGAUCCAGCAUCGGUCUACACACCCUGUUCAUGAGAUCCAUGAAUGCUGCUGGAGCAUUAGUGAGCCUAAAUAGCAUCACCACAAACUCAUAAUGCCCAUAUCGAGUCUUGAAAGCUAUCUUUGGUAUGUAUUCAUUUCGAAUUCUCAGCUAAUGGUACCUCGACUGAAGAUCAAUCUUGGAAAACUAAGAUGCACCCUGCAGCUGAUCGAACAAAUCAUCGAUCAUCGGUAACGGAUAACGGCUCUUCACCGUUAGUUAUUUCAGCUCUCGGUAAUCAAUGCACAUUCUGUGUGAUCCAUCCUUCUUUUUCACGAACAUGAUUGGUUCUCCCCACGGGGAACUGCUCGGACGGACGAACCCUCGGUCUACCAGCUCCUGAAGCUGCGUAGAUAACUCCUGCAUCUCGGUCGGUGCCAACCGGUAUGGUGCCUUCACUAUCGGAGCAGCACCCGACACCAAAUCUAUGCGAAACUCCACCUGCCUCUUCGGAGGCACCCAUGGUAGCUCUUUGGGAAAUACAUCCCGAAAUUCUUGUACAACUAGCACAUUGCCCACAUCCAUCGCGGUCUCAACCCUCGUAUCUGAGAUAUAAGCCAGAAAUCCCGUACAUCCCUGUUGCAGAAAUCUCCUAGCCCUCGCAGCCGAACAGCGAGUUGGCCCCUGCAAGGCCCUCUCACCAUGUAUAACCAGUUUUCCCCCACUUGGGGUUCGAACCCUCACCAACUGGCGCUCGCAAUCAAUCAUGGCCCCAUUGGCCCCAAACCAGUCCAUCCCGACAAUCAUCUCCAACCCUCGCAACGGUAUCGGGACUAGAUCAACUCGAAACCUAUCGCCAAGCACAUUAAGGACAUAGUCCUGAUACACCCUCGCAUCACUCACAGUGCAGUCAUCUGUAAUCUCUACCUCGAGAAUGGAAUCCAAAGUUCCAUGCACGUCCCGAAACUUCUUGCUAAGCAGAAGAGACACGAACGAUCGGGUAGCACUCGAAUCAAACAAAACAUGAACAGACAUACCAUUGACCAAAAAGGUCCCUAUACAAGCAUAAAGUACACAUAUGUCAUACAAAUAAUAAGAAUAAAGAAUAAUAGACACGUACCAGCCACGACGUUUGGCGCUGACCGAGCCUCCUCGGUAGUUAGCUGAAAUGCACGACUCUUCACCGUUGGGGCACCCGCCUUAGCAAAACGGCCAUCGGUGAUCCUCAGUGUGGCGGGGGGGGGGACGCNCUCCUCCCCCUCCCUGCAACCUCGUAUAGUCGACCUUUUUAUGGCCAGUCUGGUUGCAGUGGAAACAUAUCAAUCCCUUCUUAGGGCAAUCCCUGCUUAAAUGGCCCUGUUGACCACAAGAGUAACAUCUCGAUAUCCCUGCUUUCUGAAAAGCCCCAUUAUGUGAUUUACCACACCUGACACACUGGACCCGGCCCUGCUGUCCCCUAUUGGAAGUGUCUGAGGUCUUGGGUUUCUUAGCCUAACCCACAGCUACCUGUGCCAGCUCUGGCUUCCACUUGGUGCAGUAGUCUAACUCCAUCUCCCAUUCCCGGGUCUUUUCCACCAUCUCAUUCAGGGUUUUGUACCCUGUAAAGCUCACAAACUCCCGGAUAUCAUCUCGCAACAUGGAAUGAUAUCUCGUCCUCAUCGGUAGCAUACUGUGGGAUCAACAAAGUUCGUUCCUGAAACUUGGCGGUAAUCUCCGCCACAGUCUCGGCGGUCUGCUGAAGGUCAUGAAACUCUCUCACAAGCCGUUGUACCUCAAUGGUUGGUGCAAACUCCAAGUAAAAUCUCCGAAUGAACUCGACCGAUGUCAUCUCAGCCACACAGCUGCUCCCAACUGGCUAGUAACCUUGCCCCACAAAUCUCGGGCCCUGUUUCUCAGCAUGCAAGAAGAAAAUCCCACCUUUGCCGCAUCUGGGCAAGAAUUCGUACGCUGGGCAUUCUCGAUAUCCGCCACCCAACAUCGGCUAACAAUGGGGUCCCUGACCCCGAAAAACUCUGGUGCCUCGCACGCCUUGAACUCCAUGAAUUAGUGAUUUCGGUCCCCAAUCUGGCCUGCAGUCAUCUCGGCUCUGAAUGCCCUGAGCCUUUCCUCCAUAAUCUACAUCAUAACCUCCUUGACCAUCCCAAAGAUGAUUAGGGUAGCGUCAAGGAUGCCCCUCGUAACCUCGGUUGCAAUAAGCUCACGCAGUCUCUCGUCAAUGACAUCGGUAAUGUCACCUAAUCCAGCCCUGGAUCCAGAUCCCAAUCUUGAUCCCCCAGUCCCAUGUUGUGUCACCACCAUAAUGUAUUGCAAUACCAUAAACAUAAUGAUCAGGAUAUCCAUAGCAGAGAUCUUCCCACAUUGGUCCUCCUUAGAGCACCGAGGUCUAACGUUGGUUUGGGUACAUGUCCUGUGCUCUCAGUAGUACGGGCCCAAUACUACCUUCCAUACCUACCUGUACCUGAUAACUCCAAUUCAUCCCAAAUAAUUCACAUUCCACAUACUACCGCACCUCUCAAAUCCUAGGUUGUCCUAAGAUUUGCUUUACCCAUACCAAUCAUAACCAGUUGCUUUUAUACAUGCAAAUUAUACACAAAAAAUGAUCAAAUAGACUUUCAAAUAAAAGAUUCUACCCUAGGAUCACAAUCAAACAAGGAACAUGAAAUAAGUCCAAAUCAAUAAUUAUGAGGCUAUAAGCUCCUAACCGUAUACAAUUUUAAAAGCAUACACAUAGCAAGUUCCAUAUAAUUAACAAAGCUCAAACAUCAGUAUAACAUGGCUAACACAUUGGUGAACUACUUACUUGGCUCGGUUGAUCACGCGCGUUGCACUCUCAUCUUUUCCUUUCCUUAAAAGCUUUUUCAUUUUAUUUUUGAAAACAAAUUUACCAUUUCCUUAGUUUGAGUCCUGACACACCCAAGAGUGUGCCCGAAUCCCUCAAACCAAGGCUCUGAUACCAACUUGUAACGACCCAAUUUUCAAAAGAAAAUUUUCAAUUUUUUUUAUUAAUCAAACACAUAUCCAUAAACCAUGAAAUCCCAAAAUAAUUGUUUUCAAAUCCACAUUCAUUACAACUUUAUUUUAAAACAUCAUAGUGUCCCGCAAAAUGCUUGUGUGAGAGUGCAUGCCGCCCUUGGGGUCCGAUGUACCUGAAACAAAUCCAUAACUUGUAAGCUAAUGCUUAGUGAGUUCCCCAGAGCAUACCCCGCACACAAUCCACAACCCACAUAUCAUAUUAGCUAUAAAGCUACACAUACCACAUAAGCCAUGCAUACAUAAACCUGUAGGGAUGUCAUGGGAUCCCCCCAGGGUCUUACACCUUCGUGUCAAGGGCUACCCUACAUGGUCUUUACCUGGGAAUGCCAUGCGCUACCCCACAUGGUCUUAUAUCCAACUGCCACGGGCUUCCCCCGAGGUCUUUCAUGUAAUAACCAACAUAAUCAACCUAACAUAUCAUAUCACAGAAGCAUCUAACAUACUACAUAUGCAUACAUAAACAUGUAAGGAUGUCGUGGGCUCCCCAAGGGUCUUACACCAUCGUGCCAUGGGCUACCCCACAUGGUCUUUACCUGGGAAUACCAUGGGCUACCCCACAUGGUCUUUACUUGGGAAUACCAUGGGCUACCCCACAUGGUCUUAUAUCCAAUUGUCAUGGGAUCCCCCCCACCCCCCCCCGCNNNNNNNNNNNGCUCCCCGCGGGGGUCUUUCAUGCAAUAACAUACAAUCACUUGCAUACCACAUAUCUCUACAAAUGCUAGUGUACCACAUAACAUAAAAUAGGUCGACCUUGGUGCCUUAGACCCAUUGGUAUGGUGAGCAGACUCACCUUUGUCUGUAGAAUGUGAAGGAUGCUCUCCUAACAAUCCGUAGACACUCGUGCUAAACAAUAAUAAUAUUACCCAAUGUUAGGAUCAAAUGCCAUCUAAGUGGGGAACCCAAAUCCCCAAGUCCUUUCACAAAGGCCCAAAAGGUCUUUCUUAGCUAAUGGGCCCAAAGUCCAUAUCCAAAGUCAUUAAUGGGCCUCGUGGCCCAAUAAAGCCCAAUAAUAACAUCCCUGGUCCAAAACAGAUAAACUGCCCCCUAACCCCAAAACAAGACCAGGCCCAAUGACUAAUUGAGGCCCAAAAGCUCAAAGGCCAAACACAAAUCCAAGUCCAUCUGCUGUACGUACGCUUAGCGUACUACCCUGGUACGCGCAACGUACUAAGUCUCUAGACCUUAUGCGCUGCGUACGCUAGGUUAUGCCCAACGUACUAACAGGUUAAGCGCUUUCUCCAUUAAGUUCUUAAUACUCGAUUUCUCACGUCCAAUAGUCAUAUCUAAGCUUAUUAAGACGACCUAGGGCAUAAACUUCAUAAAAUUAUGCCUUUGCAUGUCUCAUAUGCUCCCAACAACCCCAUUAAGACCUUUUUAAGGUUCCUAAUCCAUGCAUGAGGUCACAACACCCAUCAAGACUUCAUUUUUAUGUCAUAAAUGGAUCAAAGGACCUCAGAUCUAACCUUUCCAACCUCUGGAGUUGCCCAACUCACAAGAGGAGAUCCAAAAUCAACAAAAGGGACCAAACUAGAAAACCCUAACUAGAUCUAAUGAAUAAGAUGGAAAGAUCAAAGCUUUAUACCUCCAGAAGCUCCUUAAGGUGAACUAGGUACAAAUUCUUGAAGCCCAAUGUCACUCCAAGCUUGCUUGACAACUUCUCCUUCUUGAAUGGACAAUAAUAAAAUGGCCCCAAAUGCACUCUAUAAGCUUAAAAAUGAUCUCACAAACUCUCUCUGGAGUAGAAGGGCGAAAUAAGGUUGUGAAGGCUGUCUAGGGUUAGGUCAAAGAGGCUUAAGGACGUUUAAAUAAGCCUCAAGUCCGGAAAUUAGGGUUUUAGAUGUCCGUCACGUACACCCAACAUACUCCUGGUACGCCCAACGUACAUGCUGCCCCUCCACGAUCCUCCUUGCAAAGUACACUAAGUGUACCCAUAAGUACGCCCAGCGUACUUAAGGGACUUAUUAUGCUAGCUAUAUUUAAAAUUCUUCAAGGGGUUCAAGGUAAUACCUGAUUUGGAGUGUUACAUAUUAUGAAUUUGUAUUUGAGCCAACUUCAACUUUCCUUUUGACAAUUCAAAAAUGGUAUAUCAUUUAGUCAUGAAAGGAAGUUGUAUCGCCUUAUGUUCAUGGAAUUAUAAGCUGAGAUAUAUAACUUUUGAGCAGAAAUAAUCAAAAUGAAAGUUGAAGUUGGCUCAAAUACAAAUUCAUGGAUAUAAAGAUCACUGGAAUUCAAAUUCAUAUGGGAAAAUUACGAAUGUUAGAAGUUAGAUAAAAAUGUUAUGGGAAAGUUACAUGAUCAUGUAAAGAUUUACACGAGCAUGUAAAGUAGGCGAAGGUCAAAAACUUGUUUUUUCUUGGUUUUUAAUGAAUUAUAAUGGUAUUUUGGGAUAGUUUAGCAAAAACAGAUAGUGUAAUAUAUUACACAGUCCCGUAAAGGUCUGAAACUUAAAUGAUGCCUAAGUUAGUUCUAAACACUCAUUUGCAAAUACCAUCCGAUUUUGGGAGCUUCUUCAAAGUUUCUUAAAGGUUCUUGGCAAGUUAUCAAAGGGAAAUCAAGGAAGAACAAUGAUUAAACUAUCAAGAACAAGAAGAUGGAGAUGGAAAUGGAAAUGGUGUAAAGGUGUGAGGUUUUUGUUGGGAAGAUGAACCAUUUAGAUAUAAAUAUGGGAAGAUGAAGAUAGGAUACGGAGACAUGAUAUAAAGACAUAGGUUUAAGAUAUGUAUAGGCAAGGGUUAGAGAAGACACCUAUUAGGAGGACUCGGGGGAAGUCAUAUGAAUGAAGAUGUUGAAAAUGUCGUCGAAGAUGAUACAGAGAUGAAAAGUCACCGAAAACUAGCUAAACCGCCGAUUAUCGUUCAAAAUGAUGUUUGUUUUUGGAUAGUUGGAAGACUAAAUAAGAGUAAAAGUUAGGGGACUUGUAAGUCAUUUGUUGAUAUAAUGAGGGUGGUAAAUGUACUUUAGCGUAAUAAAACAAAACAAAUGAACCGUAAAGUAAUUUUCAAUUGAGUUCAUUCCAGACUUCCAGUGAUGGGUCUUUCAUUUUCCCUUGUUCCCUUUUCCCUUCCAAAAUCCAUACUCCUACUAACUAAUUUUCACACAUAUGCAUCAUAAACACACAGUGAUUCCUAGAAGCGAUUUCCCACUGGAAGAAUCUUCUAUUCUCUCUAUCAAUUAUCGAUUCAAUAGUAUGUUUCUUUCAAUGUAGUUGUUCCCUUGAAAUCGAUGUGUCUCUCAAUCUUGACUGGUUAAUCGAAGCGUGUGUGUGGGUUCGAAUUUCUGGGGUUUUCUGGGGACGCAGGUGUGGUGUGGGGGGUUUGUUAUAUGAUGCUUUGUCCUGAAUUGAACACUCAGAUACAGACAUGGCUCCGUGAUUACGACAAGAUUCAAUCUGUCGCCGUGAUUCUCAUCUACAUUCAAGUACGCUUUCUCUCCUUUCUCUCGAUAUUUAUAUGUAUACAAGUUUCUACAUCUAUCUGUCUGUGUGUCGGUAUGUACAUAUAUAUGGAUCUCUGUAUACAAGAUUCCGAAAUGAAUUAGAGCAUGAAUUGUGUACACAAAGUAUAAAUACAAAUAGACAAUAUUCAUGUAUUUUCAAUGUCUAUUUCAUGUUGAUUGAUGGAAUUGUAUAUUUGUAUCGAUGUUUGAAGAUUGGUUGUGCUUUGAUUGGAUCAUUGGGAGCAUUAUACACUGGAGUUUGUCUGGUUGAUCUUGGGAUUUCAUUAUUCGCUUUAGUUGCCAUUGAGAGCAGCAGCCAGAGUCUAGGUCGAACUUAUGCUGUUCUUUUGUUUUCCUCAAUUUUGUUAGACAUUUUGUGGUUCAUCCUUUUCACCCAUGAAAUCUGGUUAGUUUUUCUCACUUUCUGUUUGUCGAUAUAAACCAAAUCUCCCUCCUAACCCUAAUCUUUCUCCACUUAAUUCAGGUACAUGUCUUCUGAGAUUCAUGGAAAAUUCGCUAUCAUUUCUAUUAAAGCCACUCUAAUAAUGCAAGCAAUUGGGUUCUCAGUGAGGUCAUUAUCAUCACUGUUAUGGAUACAGAUGUAUAGAUUAGGGUCUUCACUGGUAGAUAAUACAUAUCCUCAAGAAGGUGAUCAGGAUUUGGGGAACAGUUUUAUAAAUCCUGCAACUCCUUUGUUUAAUAGACAUAAUACUUCUGGUUCUAGUGAUGUGUUAGGGGGUUCUAUCUAUGAUCCAGUCUACUAUUCUUCUCUUUUCUCAGAUAAUCAAGAUGAUGGAUCUUUACGUGAGGUAUGUAUGUAUAUAUGUAUGCAUGUAUGCAUGUAUGUAUGUAUGUAUGUAUGUAUGUAUGUAUGUAUGUAUGUAUGAUUUGUGUGAAUUUGAUGUGUUUUUUAGGGUGAAAACCGUUUUAGUAGCUCGGGUAGGUCUAUAUCUGAUGUUCCUCAGUUGAAGCCUUCUGUGAGUGGAUCUUUCCAAGCUAUACAUGUAAGUUUUUUUUUUUUUUUUUUUUUUUUUUUUUUUUUUUUUUUUUUUUUGACUUAAUGCAUAAAGCAUGUCUUAUUUGGUUGAGUGAGCUGACCUGGCCCACACUGUCCUGUUCCAAGAACAUCAUGUCAGAUGUAAAUUAGAUACACAGUUACCUGCUUAGGUGGCAUAAGAAUGUUGUUUUAUGGUUCUACUUUUUGUUUAAAAGAGAUAAUGAUUUGAUGGGGUUAACCUUAUUAAAAUGAUACAAUGGCUAAAUAGAUCCUUGGGAAAAUUACACUUUUCAUCCCUGUACUUUAUUGAUAUCUGGAGAUUUGGUCCCUGAAAUGAAUUUUAACCUUUUUGUGCCUAAAAGGUAAUUUUUUUCAUGUUUUUUGUCCCUCUAGUAGACAGAUGUAUUUAUUGGGUGGAGCGACAAAAAAAU
rnacentral:lncRNA from 1 species